ACGAACGCUGGCGGCGUGCUUAACACAUGCAAGUCGAACGGUUAAGCGCCUUCCUUUUUGGUGGGUGUGGAUGAGUGGCUAACGGGUGAGUAACACGUGAGUAACCUUCCCCCUUCUUCUGUAUAACCGCAUGAAAGUGUGGCUAAUACGGGAUAUUCUGGGUCUGUCGCUUGAUGGGUCUGGGUAAGCUAUUUUUUCGGUGGGUGAUGGGCUCGCGGACUAUCAGCUUGUUGGUGGGGUGAUGGCCUACCAAGGCGGUGACUGGUUGCCGGCCUGAGUGGGUGGACGGUAAGACAGGGAAUGAGAAAAGGAGAAGACUACUACGGGAGGCAGCAGUGAGGAAUAUAGAACAAUGGGAGAAAGCAUGAUGCAGGGAGGCCGAGUGAGGGAAGGAGGCAUUCGGGUUGUGAACGUCUUUCGCCAGUGAAGCAGGCCUGAAUCGUUUGUGGGUGGGUUGACGGUAGCUGGAUAAGAAGCGCCGGCUAACUACGUG
rnacentral:rRNA from 1 species